rnacentral:rRNA from 1 species
GAUGAACGCUGGCGGCGUGCUUAACACAUGCAAGUCGAGCGAGAGAGUUCUUCGGAACGAUCUAGCGGCGGACGGGUGAGUAACACGUGGGCAACCUACCUCAUAGAGGGGAAUAGCCUCCCGAAAGGGAGAUUAAUACCGCAUAAAAUUAUCGAGUGGCAUCACAUGAUAAUCAAAGGAGUAAUCCGCUAUGAGAUGGGCCCGCGGCGCAUUAGCUUGUUGGUGAGGUUAUGGCUUACCAAGGCGACGACGGGUAGCCGGCCUGAGAGGGUGACCGGCCACACUGGGACUGAGAUACGGCCCAGACUCCUACGGGAGGCAGCAGUGGGGAAUAUUGCACAAUGGGCGCAAGCCUGAUGCAGCGACGCCGCGUGAGGGAUGACGGCCUUCGGGUUGUAAACCUCUUUCAGCAGGGACGAAGCGCAAGUGACGGUACCUGUAGAAGAAGGACCGGCCAACUACGUGCCAGCAGCCGCCGUAA